AUAAGGACCUGGCAGGGGAGAUACUAUGAUCACAAAGGUGGUUUCUACAGGGCGUGGUCUAUUCAUUGUACUCUAAAUGUUUUGACCCCUGCACCCCCCCGAUAUGGGAAACUUGACUGUAUAAUUUGUGGAAAUGGGGAGCCGCAUAACUGCUAAGCCACC